rnacentral:rRNA from 1 species
GAUGAACGCUAACGGCAGGCUUAAUACAUGCGAGUCGAGGGGGCAGCAAUGUCACCGGCGAACGGGUGCGUAACGCGUAUGCAACAUACCUACAUCAGGGGGAUAGCCCUAGGAAACUUGGAUUAACACCGCAUAAUAUAAGCUACGGCAUCGUAACUUAUUGAAAUAUUUAGAGGAUGUAGAUGGGCAUGCGUAGGAUGAGCUAGUUGGUAAGGUAACGGCUUACCAAGGCUACGAUCCCUAGGGGAUCUGAGAGGAGUAUCCCCCACACGGGCACUGAGAUACGGGCCAGACUCCUACGGGAGGCAGCAGUAGGGAAUAUUGGGCAAUGGAGGCAACUCUGACCCAGCCAUGCCGCGUGCAGGAAGACGGUCCUCUGGAUUGUAAACUGCUUUUGAAUGGGAAGAAUGUGCUUCUUGCGAGGAGUAAUGACGGUACCAUUAGAAUAAGCCACGGCUAACUACGUGCCAGCAGCCGCCGUAA